AGAGUUUGAUCCUGGCUCAGAAUCAACGCUGGCGGCGUGCCUCAGACAUGCAAGUCGAACGAUUAAAGCUCUCUUCGGAGAGUGUAUAGAGUGGCGCACGGGUGAGUAACACGUAAGUAAUCUACCCUCGAGUGGGGAAUAACAACCGGAAACGGUUGCUAAUACCGCAUAAUGCAGCGGCACCGCAAGGUGACAGUUGUUAAAGAUUUAUCGCUUGAGGAGGAGCUUGCGGCAGAUUAGCUAGUUGUAGGGUAACGGCUUACCAAGGCUACGAUCUGUAACCGGUCUAAGAGGACGGUCGGUCACACUGACACUGAAUAACGGGUCAGACUCCUACGGGAGGCAGCAGUCGGGAAUUUUGGGCAAUGGGCGAAAGCCUGACCCAGCAACGCCGCGUGAAGGAUGAAGUAUCUCGGUAUGUAAACUUCGAAAGAAUAGGAAGAAUUAAUGACGGUACUAUUUAUAAGGUCCGGCUAACUACGUG
rnacentral:rRNA from 1 species